GAUGAACGCUGGCGGCGUGCUUAACACAUGCAAGUCGAACGGAAAGGCUCCUGCUUGCAGGGGUACUCGAGUGGCGAACGGGUGAGUAACACGUGGGUGAUCUGCCCUGCACUUCGGGAUAAGCCUGGGAAACUGGGUCUAAUACCGGAUAGGACGAUGGUUUGGAUGCCAUUGUGGAAAGUUUUUCGGUGUGGGAUGAGCUCGCGGCCUAUCAGCUUGUUGGUGGGGUAAUGGCCUACCAAGGCGUCGACGGGUAGCCGGCCUGAGAGGGUGUACGGCCACAUUGGGACUGAGAUACGGCCCAGACGCCGACGGGAGGCAGCAGUGGGGAAUAUUGCACAAUGGGCGCAAGCCUGAUGCAGCGACGCCGCGUGGGGGAUGACGGCCUUCGGGUUGUAAACUCCUUUCGCUAGGGACGAAGCGUUUUGUGACGGUACCUGGAGAAGAAGCACCGGCUAACUACGUG
rnacentral:rRNA from 1 species